rnacentral:lncRNA from 10 species
UGGAUCUUGAGCUGUGACUUCUGUCUGUCAUAGGAAGUGUCCUCAUCCCUGGAAGAAAGAUGGAGUCUUGCUCUGUCACCAGGCAAUCAUUAAUGAUAUUGGUUGUAAUUUUAGAGUUAUAAAAAAAAUAAGAAAAUGGGGAGAAAGAAAAGGGGGAAACAGGAAGAAGAUAAAGGAGAGAACAGAAAAAGAAGGAAAGAAGAAAGGCAGGAAAGCAGGAAGGAAGCAGCAAGGGAGGAAGAGAAGGAGGAAGACAGACAAUCACAAAGCAGACUUUUCAGCAUCUGGAUUCACAGCAAUAAGGAAUUACCAAUGGCAAUGCUAAGGAAAGAUGGCUGGCUAGAUUACUGCCAACAGGCUCUUCACUGAAAAAAAAAAGAAAGAAAAAGAAAAAAGAGAGAAACACUGAGCUGUUUGUUCACAGGGCUGCAUGCUGAAUUAGGUUUGGAUAACAAAGCAAGUAGAGAUGACUAUCACAUAUGAGAGUGAAGCAAUCCAAAGUAACAGAUGACAAGGUCUCUAUGGAACUUUGUUGCUUUUAAAAGCCUGAAGUUCUUCAGAGAGUGCUACUGCAGAUUUUCUUGAUUCUUACAAAACAAUUGGUCCGGAAAGGUAAAAACUCAAAAGUCACCAAGAAAUCUUUCCUCUGCCUUUCCCAACCAGUGCUUCCUACUGAGUAUGUUUCUUUUGAAGCCAGGAUAACUUGCUCUGUUGCAGUUUCAGAAAAUAGUGUGAAAUUAAUUUUUAUCAUCACCAAGAACUGGAGUUCAAGCACAAGCCUCCCACGCAAAUUGUCCAUCCAGAGUUGUUGUAAACCCAGAACUGGGUCAUGAGUCUCAACAAAUGCAGGCACUCUGGGAAGCAGGGAAAGUUUAGACUUUGACCAAUCAUACUAGCAAUGACUUAACUUCAAGGAGCUCAGUACCAAGAAAGAGACAAACAAGGCUGCCCAAAGUGUAUUCUGCUGAAUGGCAACACCACUGAAUAUUGAGAGGUAUUAUGUUUAAAAGGACUCCAUGGACAUAGUGUGUAGAAAUGCCUAAAUUUAUUUAUCUAAGGAACCUAUUAGUGUGUGUGAGGAUGGCAUGUUAACAGACCAAUGCUCUAUAAAACACACCUUGGGAAAUAUUGGGGUAUGGCAUGAGGAGCCCCAUUUGAAAUAAGUUAUCUGCAGGAAAUAAAGAGGGUACAAGAGAGAACAUUUGUUUCUUUGUAUCCAUUUUUGUUUGGAAGUAUUGUUUUGAACAAUUGUUUAGAUUGAAAUAAUAAUAACAUUUUUGCAUCGCAUGUAACAUUACCUUUUCCAGAAGUUUCAUCUUCAUUUCUUCUUUUUAUUGCCAAGGAACCCUGUGAUGGUACUUCAGGUAGCUGUAUUCAAUUUUACAAGCUGUAUUCAAUUUUACAGUUGAGGAAACUGAUACAUAGAGAAGGUGAAUGCCUUUUGCACUCAGGAUAGGCUAAGUCAGGGGAUCAGAAAACUAGGCCACACAGGCCAAAUCUGGCCCGCAGCCUGUUUUUGUACAGUCUGGAAACUAACGGUAUAUAUAUAUAUAUACACACACACACACAUAUAUAUGUAUAUAUAUACACACACACAUAUAUAUGUAUACAUAUAUAUACACACACACAUAUAUAUAUGUAUACAUAUAUAUAUAUACACACACAUAUAUAUAUAUGUAAGGUAAUAAACCUUUAAAGAGGAAGAGAAAAGAAAAGAAUAUAUGACAGAGAUCAUAUGCGGCCCACAAAGCCUGAAGUAUUUACUGUCUGGCCUUUUACAGAAAAAUUUUGCCAGCCCCCGGACUAGGUUAUACGGUUAUGCUCUGGUAACAAACAAUACUCAUACCUCAGUGAUUUUGCCCAACAAUAUAUAUUUCUUGCUGAUGCCACAUGCCCAAGUCAAGGUGUCAGGAGUCUCUGCUUAUCCGUAUCACUUAGGAACCUGAGCCGCAAGAAACUUCAUGUCAUUAUGUGCCCCAUGGUCACCUCUGCAAUAAGAAGGAGAUGUGAUGAGCUGCGUACUGGCUCUCAGAAUUUCCACCUGGGUGUGAAACGCUCCACUUCUGCUCAUAGUUCACUGGCCAACCAAGUCACAUGAACUCAUCUAACUUCAAAGGGGUGGGGAAAUACAACCUUACCUUAUGCCUGGAAGAAUGAAAUCCAGAAAUAUUUGGUGAACAACAGUAUUAAUACUGGAUACAUGUGAAUGUGAGUGUGUGAGAGAGAGAUAUAUAGAGAGAGUGAGUGUGUAUGUGUGUGUGUGUAGAAAGCUAGUUCAGAAAGUGAGGUGUUGGAAUCCAUAGCCUCUGAAAUCUUUAUUGAUUUUCUUCAUACAUAUGUGUAAGAUAUAUAUAUAGUGAUAUGGCUUGACUCUGUGUCCCCACUCAAAUCUCAUCUCGAAUUGUAAUCUCCACAAAGUUCCUCCUUCGCUCCUGUCUCACUUGCCACCAUGUGAAGAAGGUGCUUGCUUCUCCUUUGCCUUCCACCAUGAUUGUACAUUUCCUGAGGCCUCCCCAGCCACGUGGAACUGUGAGUCAAUUACACCUCUUUCCUUUUUAAAUUACCCAGUCUCAGGUAUUUCUUUAUAGCAGUGUGAAAAUGGACUAAUACAUAUAAGAA